rnacentral:rRNA from 1 species
GGAAGUAAAAGUCGUAACAAGGUCUCCGUUGGUGAACCAGCGGAGGGAUCAUUGCUGGAACGCGCCCCAGGCGCACCCAGAAACCCUUUGUGAACUCAUACCUUACUGUUGCCUCGGCGCAGGCCGGCCCCCUCGGGGCCCCCGGAGACGGGGAGCAGGCCCGCCGGCGGCCAAGUCAACUCUUGUUUUUACACUGAAACUCUGAGGACAAAUAAUAAAUGAAUCAAAACUUUCAACAACGGAUCUCUUGGUUCUGGCAUCGAUGAAGAACGCAGCGAAAUGCGAUAAGUAAUGUGAAUUGCAGAAUUCAGUGAAUCAUCGAAUCUUUGAACGCACAUUGCGCCCUCUGGUAUUCCGGAGGGCAUGCCUGUUCGAGCGUCAUUUCAACCCUCAAGCCUGGCUUGGUGAUGGGGCACUGCUUUCUCACGGGAGCAGGCCCUGAAAUUCAGUGGCGAGCUCGCCAGGACCCCGAGCGCAGUAGUUAAACCCUCGCUCUGGAAGGCCCUGGCGGUGCCCUGCCGUUAAACCCCCAACUCUUGAAAAUUUGACCUCGGAUCAGGUAGGAAUACCCGCUGAACUUAAGCAUAUCAAUAAGCGGAGGA